rnacentral:lncRNA from 1 species
CCUGCUAUCAUACGCUGACAAUCCUCUAACGUGCACCCAUCGUCUCCCAUAGCUGCGAACACACUAAAAAGCUCCUCCGCCGUAAUUCUCCCGUCGUGGUCCGCGUCGAAUAUCUCAAACGUAUCACGUAACUCGGAGUGGCAAGUCGGUCCAACCCGGUCCAUUUCGCCCAUCAUGAUCUUAAUCUCUUCCUCACUCGGCGGUUCGGCUCCGAUUAGGCCGAGUAGAGCCUUUAGUUCUUUACGAGAGAGAGUGGGGUCGGAGAAAUCGGACCAGUCGAGGGAGGGUAGAACGCUGGUGGGGGUUCCUGCCGCGGAGGAGGAGGAGGAGGAGGAGGCGGAGCCGAAAGAAGGAGGUUGAGAUCGGGAGAGUUUGGAGCGGUGGGAUUUGGAAGAGAAG